rnacentral:ncRNA from 1 species
ACACGACUCUGGAGAGUCCCGGCACGGGAACGCGGUUCAGCCGUUUUUCCGGUACGGGCGCCGAAGGUGCACGGAAGCUUACGCGGCUUUCUUAUCUCUCAGGCAAAAGGACAGAGAAA